GAAGAGAACCCCGUUCACUCUGAUCCAGAGUGCACAUGUAGCACAUCUGUGGGCUUUUCCAUUUCCUAGCGAUGGUCGGAAAGCAGAGAUGAGAGAGGCCUGAGCAUCAGGAUCAGCUCAGGUGGGAUCAGUUGGGGCUGGGGCUCAGCUGGAGCUCAGCCCAGGUGCAGCCCAGGCCUGUGCUGACCCAGGCACCAGGCAAGGCUGGUCAGGGCCAUUAGGGCUCAGUGCUGCAGGUGGGAGCUGGCAGCCAUCUUGUUGUCUGUCGACGUGUGUAACCUUUGUUGAAAGCACAACCAUGGGUGUUUUGUGGGCUCUUCGUGAUGGUCUGUGCUAUGAGGACAGGUAUAGCUGGAAGUAAGGGGAGUGAAGAAGGACAGAGCGGCUGUGAACUGCACAAGAUGCAGAAAAAGACUGGACUGUAGUUUUACAGAUGGAGGAACUGAGGCUAAGAAAACUACAUGUCUUGUGAGGUGACAUAAGUGUUUAGUGACAGAAUUGCUCUUUCCUGCUCCUAUCUAAAGAGUUCCUCAAUGUGCAUCUCCCUGCGUUCUGAAUUAACUCCAGUUUCGCGGAACGGACGAACAAGUGUCUGCCUUGAGUCCGCUGCGGAGCUGGUGUGCUGGCUUCUCGACACCUCUUGCAUGAAUCACUGCCUCUGCCCUUUUUUUUCCAUUUGCCAUUUCUGGUCGUUUUUCCCUGUUCUGUCGAAUCCCAAGUGCCCCUGAAUGCAGCCCAUUGGUUUUGGGAUGUGGAGAGCCAUAUGUGCAGCCCCACUUCUCUAAGACGGCACUCGACUGGGCAGUGAAGCACGGCAAUCUUGAGAUGGCAGAGAUGGUCGCCAAAGCAGGCGUCGAUGUCAAUGCUAAAUCGUAUGUCACUUAUUUCAUUGUGACAGGGGUAAUGUAUUUGUAAACUGUGCUAUAAAUAUUGGAAUCUCAUAUUCAGACACCAGCAUAUCUCAUAUUCAGACACCAGCAUUUCUGAGCUAUGCUUUUUCAAAUGAAUUUAGAAUUGACAAAAAUUUUCAAAGCCAAAUUACUAGUGUGUCACUGUGAAAUUAGGUUCUUGACCCUGCUUCUGAUGUAUGCUUAUUUUUCUACACAUUUUCUCCUUCAAUUUUAUGCAUCACUAUUCACUGCUGGAAUUGGUGACAUGGCUUUCCCAAAAGGGGGUAAGUAAUACUUUAAUACACCUAUGAAAUGAGUCUGCCUUUUUCAUGAAUAUUCUGAAAGCAAGCUGUCACUGCAGUCAAUUGAUAUUCCUACGCUUCAUUGCAGAGAGGAGUGAACUUCUUAUGACAGGGCAUAUCUUGGCAAACUUUAUUUCAUCUCUGUGACACUUUCAAAUUUCAUUAUUCUGACUUAAGUGUAUUUUCUAUUAUUUUAAGUACAUUCCAUUUGUGAUUAAAGUGUUUUAUGGAUAAACCAAAAAAGCUGCCAGAGAGCUUGUAUGAAGAGCUUUAAUCAAAACUUGUCCUGAGACCUGUAAACUCCCAGUGAAAUUGGCCGGGGACUAGACACAGAGAAAUGCCUAUGAUGGAUCAAUUUCAUGGUAAAAUUAGAAAAUGCGUAUGAGCUUAUUAGUACCACUAUGUGUAGUAAUUCCAUCAUUCUCAUUUUGCAUUUGCCAGUUUCCAGUGUAUCGCAUCCCCAGUAACGUAUACCUAAUCGGUCAUCAUAUUUACCAGCAGGCCUUAUCUCUGGCCAAACUCAUUUAAUUUUUACUUCUGCUGCAUACUUAUAUGCACCCCUAUCACUGGAAAGAUAUUAAAAUUCUGAUGUUCCAACAUUUCCCUUGUGAAUGAGUUGAAAAGACAGAGUUUAUCCACCUGUAAAAUUGUUUAUCAAUUAUUUAUGUGUAAGCCCUUGUGAACUGAUUCGCUGCUCUUAACAAGUUAAAAAGGGCCAGCUUCUUUCAGGUAGUGUACUUUGGGGCUAGGAUGUACCUUGGUUCAGUGGGGUCUGCUUCUGUGUUUUACCCUGAAGUUGGUAGUGAAACUUUUUUACUGCUUAAAAAUACCUUACCUUAAGUCUGUGUAUUUUAGGGAGCUAAUUUAGCUACCAGUACAAGACAGCUUACUUUAAAAUUGCAGCUUUGAAAAGAUUAUUACUGAAUUUCUUUUAACUCACGUUAUCUUGGAUUUUUUUCACCCAUAAAACUAAGCCACAUAAUGAAUAGUACAGCUCUGUGAGCAUUAUCCUAUUGCUAGCAUUGAACUGCAUUUUGCAAUGUUUUUUGCUAGUCUUAUCAGAUGCAAUAUUGAUUUCCAAACCUUUCUUUGUGAACUAAGUCUGAGCUGAAACUGGAA